rnacentral:rRNA from 1 species
UACGUAGGGGCCUAGCGUUGUCCGGAUUUAUUGGGCGUAAAGCGCUCGUAGGCGGUUCGGUAAGUCAGGUGUGAAAUCUCCACGCUCAACGUGGAGGCGCCACCUGAAACUGCCGUGACUCGAGUCCGGUAGGGGAGUGUGGAAUUCCCGGUGUAGCGGUGAAAUGCGUAGAUAUCGAGAGGAACACCUGCGGCGAAGGCGGGUUGCUGGGCUGACACUGACGCUGAAGUGCGAAAGCUAGGGGAGCGAACGGG